GGGCGGUUAGCUCAGCGGUAGAGCACUACGUUGACAUCGUAGGGGUCACAAGUUCGAACCUUGUACCGCCCA
rnacentral:tRNA from 1 species